AUUGAACGCUGGCGGCAGGCCUAACACAUGCAAGUCGAACGAGUGGCGGACGGGUGAGUAAUGGCUGGGAAACUUCCUGAUGGGGGGGGAUAACUACUGGAAACGGUAGCUAAUACCGCAUACCAUCGGAUGUGCCCCAAGGGGAUUAGCUAGUAGGGGGGGUAAAGGCUCACUUAGGCGACGAUCCCUAGCUGGUCUGAGAGGAUGACCAGCCAAACUGGAACUGAGACACGGUCCAGACUCCUACGGGAGGCAGCAGUGGGGAAUAUUGCACAAUGGGCGAAAGCCGGAUGCAGCCAUGCCGCGUGUAUGAAGAAGGCCUUCGGGUUGUAAAGUACUUUCAGCGGGGAGGCGUUACCCGCAGAAGAAGCACCGGCUAACUCCGUGCCAGCCGCCGCGGUAAUUC
rnacentral:rRNA from 1 species